rnacentral:ribozyme from 1 species
GGGAGCAAGAAGGGCCAGAGGAGCAACAACAAGGGGUCCGGGGACUCGCUAGCCGAGAAGGAGAACAACAAGCAGACGCACUCCAAUGGC